rnacentral:rRNA from 1 species
GACGAACCGUGCGAGCGUUGUUCGGAAUCACUGGGCAUAAAGGGCGCGUAGGCGGGCCGUAAAGUCAGGGGUGAAAUCCUCCAGCUUAACUGGAGAACUGCCUUUGAUACUGACGGCCUCGAGUGAGGUAGGGGCGUGCGGAACUGAUGGUGGAGCGGUGAAAUGUGUUGAUAUCAUCAGGAACUCCGGUGGCGAAAGCGGCACGCUGGACCUCUACUGACGCUGAGGCGCGAAAGCCAGGGGAGCGAACGGG